ACGUCAUUUAGCAACCCAUCAACCUGCCUCUAGCAACUUUACCAAAAAAAGUAUAGGUCGUAUUUUGGCUGACUGUGUUUUGAUCCACCGGAAACUUUGAAGAUUGCUCAUUAUUUAGCUUUUCUAAGGACACAGAAAACGAAUGCAGUGGGGAAGUCGGAGGAGGUUGCCUGGGCUUGCUAGCACUUCAUGAACUCUUCAUUUGGUUGUGCUGCGCUGCCUACGUUGAAAUUGAAAUGAUUUAUCGGAUGCGAGCGGCAGUCAGACGGUCUCGCAAAGGAUUGGUGCUCUGUCUGUUCCUGGCACUCCAUUUGGCUGUCUCCAAGGCGGAUAAUAGAGUUCUUCUUGUUGGUUCAACGGACCCUGUUCGUGGCAUAGUUGGCGGGGAUGUCAUCUUGCCUUGUUUCCUGAGACCUACCACGAGUGCUGUUGAAGAGUCCGUAGAGUGGCAGAGACCAGUCCUAGAGCCAAAAGAGGUGCAUUUGUACCGAGACCGUAGUGAUGACAAUGUGAUCCAGUAUCCAUCCUACAGUGGUAGGACAUCACUGUUCAGGGAAGAACUGAAGAACGGCAACGUCUCACUAAAGCUGACCAAUGUGAAACUCUCCGAUGCUGGAAAUUACACCUGUUACAUACCAACGUUAGGCCACCAGAAAACCACCAUUGAACUCUAUGUCGGCGAGGAUGGGACUCCUUCAUCCUCCUUCCAACCCACCCAACCGCCCCUGAAAGACCAAUCGGGGAAAGUCAGGGGUGCAGCCCCUCGGCCAUGGCUCUCCAUUGUGAGAACCAAAGACAAGGAAGUGGUCCUGAAGUGUGUGGCUGAAGGGUUAGUCUAUAAGCCUGAGUUGGUGUUGCUGAACAGUAAGGGAACCAUCCUCCCUGCUGAUGAACCUACAGAGAGACCCAUGGAUUCCGAGGGCUUGUACACAGUGACACGCUAUUUCACUGUCCAGAAGACUGCCACCAAUGUGUUCACCUGUCAAGUUCAACAGCUGGAGAUCAAACACAUGAGGGAGACACAGAUUCAUGUUCCAGACAAAAUGUUUCAUGAGGAAGCAGAAGACUUGGGAUGGAAAAUUGGAUUUGGAAUUGGAUGUGUUGUAGGGGGUGUUGUGGUGGGUGUUAUAGUUUUUCUGUUCAUGCGGAAAAACAACCCCAACAACGCCCUAAAACAGCACCCAGAAGAAAAAGAGAGAAACCAAUGACGGGUGUGCAGAUAGCGGGAAUCCCCUCCUCGAGGGACAGCAAUAAUGGUGUGCAUCCUAAUGGUGUGCGUGUGUCACAACCUGGAGAACGGGACAGCCAACAUACAUUUGAUUGUUUCCACAUUUUUUGCCUAAUAGAGUUUACCCAGGAUCGGAUCCACUCUUUGCGUCCGUGGACUACACCUCUCCGUUCUUCGUGGCCUUUUUCCGCUGGAGAUCUAUUGGCGGAUUGGAUUGUCUGACUGACCGACUGACUACCACCUUUUUGUAUACGUAUCCUCGACUUCGGCGAUGUCAUCUACAAAAUGGCUUCCAACACUACUCAGCAAACUGAUAGACGCUGUCUAUCACAGUGCCAUCCGUUUUGUCACUAAAGCACCUUAUACCACCCACCACUGCGACUUGUAUGCUCUAGUCGGCUGGCCCUCGCUACAUAUUCGUCGCCAGACCCACUGGCUCCAGGUCAUCUACAAGUCCAUGCUAGGUAAAGCUCCGCCUUAUCUCAGUUCACUGGUCACGAUGGCAACACCCAUCCGUAGCACGCGCUCCAGCAGGUGUAUCUCACUGAUCAUCCCUAAAGCCAACACCUCAUUUGGCCGCCUUUCGUUCCAGUACUCUGCUGCCUGUGACUGGAACGAAUUGCAAAAAUCGCUGAAGUUGGAGACUUUUAUCUCCCUCACCAACUUCAAACAUCAGCUAUCUGAGCAGCUAACCGAUCGCUGCAGCUGUACAUAGUCUAUCGGUAAAUAGCCCACCCAUUUUUCACCUACCUCAUCCCCAUACUGUUUUUAUUUAUUUACUUUUCUGCUCUUUUGCACACCAAUAUCUCUACCUGUACAUGACCAUCUGAUCAUUUAUCACUCCAGUGUUAAUCUGCAAAAUUGUAAUUAUUUGCCUACCUCCUCAUGCCUUUUGCACACAUUGUAUAUAGACUCCCCCUUUUUUUUCUACUGUGUUAUUGACUUGUUAAUUGUUUACUCCAUGUGUAACUUUGUUGUCUGUUCACACUGCUAUGCUUUAUCUUGGCCAGGUCGCAGUUGCAAAUGAGAACUUGUUCUCAACUAGCCUACCUGGUUAAAUAAAGAACAGCCUCAAUUUGUCGGGGCAUGGACUCCGCAAGACGUCAGCAGCAUCCUACAGGGAUGCUGGCCCGUGUUGACUCCAAUGCUUCCCACAGUUGUGUCAAGUUGGCUGCAUGUCCUUUGGGUGCUGGACAAUUUUUGAUACACACAGGAAACUGUUGAGCGUGAAACUCAAUAGCGUUGCACUUCUUGACACACUCAAACGCAAACCGGUGUGCCUGGCACCUACUACCAUACCCCCAUUCAAAGGCACUUCAAUCUUUUGUCUUGGCCAUUCACCCUCUGAAUGGCCGGACAUACACCAUCCAUAUCUCAUGUUUUAAAAAUCCUUUAAACGGUCUCCUCCCCUUCAUCUACACUGAUUGAAGUGGAUGUAACAAGUGACAUCAACAGCAGAUCAUAGCUUUCACCUGGCCAGUCGCUCAUGGAAAGUGCAGGUGUUCCUAAAGUUUUGUACACUCAAAUGUAUUUGUGUGUAUGUAUGCAUUGGGCUUCAUGGAUUGUUUAUUUGUAUGUGUUGGGCUUUAGCUGAGAUUAUUCUUUCAAGUCCUGAAUGCUGAUUGGCUGACAGCCGUGUUAAAUCCGACUGUAUACCACACGCAGGACAAAACAUGUAUUUUUACUGCUCCAAUUACAUUGGUAACCACUUUAUAAUAGCAAUAAGGCACCUCAGGGGUUUGUGAGAUAUGGCCAAUACCAAUGCUAUAAACAUUACCCGGAAACUCUUAUUUUUAUGUAUCUUGGAAUGUUCUCAAACCAUUACUGUCCAUGAUAUCGGCAAGCAUACGGAUUUCACAUUUGAACCAUUGGGGGAGGGUGCAAAAGGCCGACCUCCAGAUUUCAAGGAAUUAAUGUGAAAAUAUUGGGAGUAUGUGCAUGCUAUUUUGAUUCCCAGUUACAUUGUUUUUCCAUUUUGCGCCAAAUAGAAAUUGUGCGAGCAAUGAUGGGACCAAAGCAUAGUUUACAUUGUUUAAAGAAUUUAUCAGUGACUCAAGACCACCUCUGCCAUGGAAAUGUGAGACACCAUAUUUCUCUUUAUACUCAGCCAGAGGGCAGAAGAAUCAUGUCUAAACCGAUUUAGGAUAGGGAAAAUGCUAGAGCCUGGAAAUACAACUGAAAGUUUGGUACGGAUAGUCCUAAAUAUUCCCCUCUUUGUAAGUGUAAGUUUAUCUGGAGUCGUUAACCUUGCCAUAUACAUUUUGAAAGUGUAUCCCAACAGUCACAAGGGGGAGCCAUGGGAAGCAUUGAACUACAGAAAGUCUGUGACAAUAUAUUCAUUUUGACAAUAGAUAUUCUGCUGGUUAUAGCAACUGGGAUAGUAAAAUGGCAAAGGCGAAAUUGGAUCGCCUUGUCUGCUGCUUCUAGUGAUAUUGACAUAACAUUUGAAUCAUAUUAAUGAAAUGGGAGCCAAUUACCAUAUGUUCCAAGACCAGAGAUACUGUAUGCCCAUUCUAGUCUAUCAAAAGCUUUUUCUGCAUCAAGAGAUAAUACAGCCCAAGGCACUGUUGUUUUUAACAAAGCGUUUAAGAUAUGUAAUAGUAAACAUUUUUUAACAAACCCGCUUUGGUCCGUGUGGAACAAUUUGGUAAAUUAUAAUUAAAUUAAGUAAAUCUCGAGAAGGGACGACAACAUUUAGGAAAAUAAUGUAUCUGUGUUUAUCAAAGGUAAGGGGCUAUAGUGAGAAUACUGGGUGGCAUAGUUACCUUACUUAAUAUAUAAAAAAUAAAAAGCAAAAUUAGUACUAUAUUCACAUCUCUCCCAAAUCAACCUUUGUGAAUGGCCUUGUUAAUCAUUGAGCAAUAGUGGACCUAAUUGAUUACAAAAUGUUAAAUAGACCUCAGGAGGAAUACCAGCCCAUUCAGGUGAUUUGUCUUUAUUUACACUACCCAUUGUCCUUUUGAGUUCAUUGAGAGAGAUUUGGGCUCCCAGUGAGGUGGCUUAUGUUGAGAGAAGAGGAGUUUCUUAAUUAUUUUAGACCGGCUUGGUGUGGAUUUACAAUCAGAGGAGUACAAUUCUUUAUAGAAGCAUGAGAAUCUUUGAUUAAUUUGGGUUCUGAUAGUAAUUCCCCUGUUUCAGACUCAAUAGUUGCUAUAUCAGCUAAUGAUCAUUGCUGCAUAGCUUGUUGGCCAGUAAACGACUAGGACAAUUACCAUGGAAUGUUGAGUCUAACUCUGUCUUAUCAAUAAAUUUAAGUUCUGCCUUGACCUUGGACAGACUAACAGCUA